rnacentral:lncRNA from 1 species
UGGAAGCUGUUCAUGAGGCAAGAUAUGAGAGGGGUCCAGGUUGUACUUACGUAGCAAGGAUACGUGGAACACAUUAUGAACCUUGGAGAGUUUUGGAGGCAGUGCUAAUCUGUAGGCAGCAGUACCAAUCAUGUCUAAGAUUUCAAAAAGUCCAAUAAAUCGGGAGUUCAAUUUUCCUCUCCUGCUGAACCUACUAAUUCCCUUGAAAGGAGUGACCUUAAGGAAUACCCGGUCGCAUUUCUCAAACGCUAGAUCUCUCAUUCGAGUGUCCGCAUAACUCUCUUGCUUGCUUUGAGUCGUCUGAAUGUUCUUUCUGAUUUUAACUAUUUUAGACGUGGUAUCCUCUAGCAAUUCUGGGCCGAACAAUCUUCUAUCGCCCACUUCUUUCCAACAAAUCAGUGAUCUGAACGGG